GAUGAACGCUAGCGGCAGGCUUAAUACAUGCAAGUCGUGGGGCAGCAGGGGUGUAGCAAUACAUCUGCUGGCGACCGGCAAACGGGUGCGUAACACGUACGCAACCUUCCCGUUACUGUGGCAUAGCCCAGGGAAACUUGGAUUAAUACCACAUAUUAUAUAGAGAGGGCAUCCUUUUUAUAUCAAAGCUUCGGCGGUAACGGAUGGGCGUGCGGUUGAUUAGGUAGUUGGCGGGGUAACGGCCCACCAAGCCUACGAUCAAUAGCUGAUGUGAGAGCAUGAUCAGCCAGACGGGCACUGAGACACGGGCACGACUCCUACGGGAGGCAGCAGUAAGGAAUAUUGGGCAAGGGACGAAAGUCUGACCCAGCCAUGCCGCGUGAAGGAUUAAGGUCCUCUGGAUUGUAAACUUCUUUUCUCUGGGGCGAAAACCAGCUAUUCUUAGCUAUUUGACAGUACCAGAGGAAUAAGCACCGGCUAACUCCGUGCCAGCCGCCGCCGUAAUAC
rnacentral:rRNA from 1 species